GACGAAGGAUUCAAGCGUUGUCCGGAUUUACUGGGUUUAAAGGGUGCGUAGGCGGAACUUUAAGUCAGUGGUGAAAGCUCUCGGCUCAACCGAGAAACUGCCAUUGAAACUGAUUUUCUUGAAUACAGUUGAGGUAGAUGGAAUAUAACAUGUAGCGGUGAAAUGCUUAGAUAUGUUAUAGAACACCGAUUGCGAAGGCAGUCUGCUAAGCUGUUAUUGACGCUGAGGCACGAAAGCGUGGGGAGCAAAC
rnacentral:rRNA from 1 species